rnacentral:rRNA from 1 species
GACGAACGCUGGCGGCGUGCUUAACACAUGCAAGUCGAACGGAAAGGCCCUGCUUUUGUGGGGUGCUCGAGUGGCGAACGGGUGAGUAACACGUGAGUAACCUGCCCUUGACUUUGGGAUAACUUCAGGAAACUGGGGCUAAUACCGGAUAGGAGCUCCUGCUGCAUGGUGGGGGUUGGAAAGUUUCGGCGGUUGGGGAUGGACUCGCGGCUUAUCAGCUUGUUGGUGGGGUAGUGGCUUACCAAGGCUUUGACGGGUAGCCGGCCUGAGAGGGUGACCGGCCACAUUGGGACUGAGAUACGGCCCCGACUCCUACGGGAGGCAGCAGUGGGGAAUAUUGCACCAUGGGCGGAAGCCUGAUGCAGCAACGCCGCGUGCGGGAUGACGGCCUUCGGGUUGUAAACCGCUUUCGCCUGUGACGAAGCGUGAGUGACGGUAAUGGGUAAAGAAGCACCGGCUAACUACGUG